rnacentral:rRNA from 1 species
CCCUUAGAUGUUCUGGGCUGCACGCGCGCUACACUGAUGCGCUCAACGAGUUUUAACCUUGCCUGGAAAGGUUGGGUAAUCUUUUUAAAACGCAUCGUGAUGGGGAUAGAUUAUUGCAAUUAUUAAUCUUCAACGAGGAAUUCCUAGUAAGCGCGAGUCAUCAGCUCGUGCUGAUUACGUCCCUGCCCUUUGUACACACCGCCCGUCGCUCCUACCGAUUGAAUGAUUUAGUGAGGACUUCGGACUGGGACCGAUGCGGCUUUCGGGCUGCGUCGGUAUUCUGGAAAGAUGUCCAAACUGUAUCAUUUAGAGGAAGUAAAAGUCGUAACA